rnacentral:rRNA from 1 species
AUUGAACGCUGGCGGCAGGCUUAACACAUGCAAGUCGAGCGGUAGCACAGAGAGCUUGCUCUCGGGUGACGAGCGGCGGACGGGUGAGUAAUGUCUGGGAAACUGCCUGAUGGAGGGGGAUAACUACUGGAAACGGUAGCUAAUACCGCAUAACGUCGCAAGACCAAAGAGGGGGACCUUCGGGCCUCUUGCCAUCAGAUGUGCCCAGAUGGGAUUAGCUAGUGGGUGGGGUAACGGCUCACCUAGGCGACGAUCCCUAGCUGGUCUGAGAGGAUGACCAGCCACCCUGGAACUGAGACACGGUCCAGACUCCUACGGGAGGCAGCAGUGGGGAAUAUUGCACAAUGGGCGCAAGCCUGAUGCAGCCAUGCCGCGUGUAUGAAGAAGGCCUUCGGGUUGUAAAGUACUUUCAGCGGGGAGGAAGGUGUUGAGGUUAAUAACCUCAGCAAUUGACGUUACCCGCAGAAGAAGCACCGGCUAACUCCGUGCCAGCAGCCGCCGUAA